rnacentral:rRNA from 1 species
AGUGAACGCUGGCGGUAGGCCUAACACAUGCAAGUCGAACGGCAGCACAGUAAGAGCUUGCUCUUACGGGUGGCGAGUGGCGGACGGGUGAGGAAUACAUCGGAAUCUACUUUUUCGUGGGGGAUAACGUAGGGAAACUUACGCUAAUACCGCAUACGACCUACGGGUGAAAGCAGGGGAUCUUCGGACCUUGCGCGAUUGAAUGAGCCGAGGUCGGAUUAGCUAGUUGGCGGGGUAAAGGCCCACCAAGGCGACGAUCCGUAGCUGGUCUGAGAGGAUGAUCAGCCACACUGGAACUGAGACACGGUCCAGACUCCUACGGGAGGCAGCAGUGGGGAAUAUUGGACAAUGGGCGAAAGCCUGAUCCGGCAAUACCGCGUGGGUGAAGAAGGCCUUCGGGUUGUAAAGCCCUUUUGUUGGGAAAGAAAAGCAGCAGGUUAAUACCCCGCUGUUCUGACGGUACCCAAAGAAUAAGCACCGGCUAACUUCGUG